rnacentral:rRNA from 1 species
AGGAAUAUUGGUCAAUGGGCGCUAGCCUGAACCAGCCAAGUAGCGUGAAGGAUGACUGCCCUAUGGGUUGUAAACUUCUUUUAUAUGGGAAUAAAGUGCAGUAUGUAUACUGCUUUGCAUGUACCUUAUGAAUAAGGAUCGGCUAACUCCGUGCCAGCAGCCGCGGUAAUACGGAGGAUCCGAGCGUUAUCCGGAUUUAUUGGGUUUAAAGGGAGCGUAGGCGGGUUGUUAAGUCAGUUGUGAAAGUUUGCGGCUCAACCGUAAAAUUGCAGUUGAUACUGGCAUCCUUGAGUACAGUAGAGGUAGGCGGAAUUCGUGGUGUAGCGGUGAAAUGCUUAGAUAUCACACAGAACACCGAUUGCGAAGGCAUCUCACGAAUCCGCGAUUGACGCUGAUGCACGAAAGCGUGGGUAUCAAACAGG